rnacentral:rRNA from 1 species
GACGAACGCCGGCGGCGUGCUUAACACAUGCAAGUCGAGCGGUAAGGCCCUUUCGGGGGUACACGAGCGGCGAACGGGUGAGUAACACGUGGGUGACCUGCCCUCAGCUCUGGGAUAAGCCCGGGAAACUGGGUCUAAUACCGGAUAUGACUCCAUGACGCAUGUUGUGGGGUGGAAAGCCUUGUGCGGCUGAGGAUGGGCCCGCGGCCUAUCAGCUUGUUGGUGGGGUGAUGGCCACCAAGGCGACGACGGGUAGCCGGCCUGAGAGGGCGACCGGCCACACUGGGACUGAGACACGGCCCAGACUCCUACGGGAGGCAGCAGUGGGGAAUCUUGCGCAAUGGGCGAAAGCCUGACGCAGCGACGCCGCGUGAGGGAUGACGGCCU